GACGAACCGUGCGAACGUUAUUCGGAAUCACUGGGCUUAAAGCGCGUGUAGGCGGGCCCGAACGUCCGACGCUGAAAUCCCCCGGCUCAACCGGGGAAGUGGCGCGGAUACGGCGGGCCUGGAGGGGGGUAGGGGGAGCUGGAACUUCCGGUGGAGCGGUGAAAUGCGUUGAGAUCGGAAGGAACGCCCGUGGCGAAAGCGAGCUCCUGGACCCUUACUGACGCUGAGACGCGAAAGCCAGGGGAGCGAACGGG
rnacentral:rRNA from 1 species